AUUGAACGCUGGCGGAAUGCUUUACACAUGCAAGUCGAACGGCAGCACGGACUUCGGUCUGGUGGCGAGUGGCGAACGGGUGAGUAAUGUAUCGGAACGUGCCCAGUCGUGGGGGAUAACGUAGUGAAAAUUACGCUAAUACCGCAUACGAUCUAUGGAUGAAAGCGGGGGAUCGCAAGACCUCGCGCGAUCGGAGCGGCCGAUAUCAGAUUAGGGAGUUGGGGGGGUAAAGGCCCACCAAGCCAACGACCUGUAGCUGGUCUGAGAGGACGACCAGACACACUGGAACUGAGACACGGUCCAGACUCCUACGGGAGGCAGCAGUGGAGAAUUUUGGACAAUGGGCGAAAGCCUGAUCCAGCCAUUCCGCGUGCAGGAUGAAGGCCCUCGGGUUGUAAACUGCUUUUGUACAGAACGAAAAGGUUUCUACUAAUACUAGGAGCUCAUGACGGUACUGUAAGAAUAAGCACCGGCUAACUACGUGCCAGCAGCCGCAGUAA
rnacentral:rRNA from 1 species